rnacentral:rRNA from 1 species
ACACGACCGUACCGCAAACCGACACUGGUGCGCGAGAUGAGUAUUCUAAGGCGCUUGAGAGAACUCGGGAGAAGGAACUCGGCAAAUUGACACCGUAACUUCGGAAGAAGGUGUGCCUUUAGUAGGUGAAGGGAUUUACUCCUGGAGCCCAAUGAGGUUGCAAAAAAUCGGUGGCUGCGACUGUUUAUUAAAAACACAGCACUCUGCAAACACGAAAGUGGACGUAUAGGGUGUGACGCCUGCCCGGUGCUGGAAGAUUAAAUGAUGGGGUGCAAGCUCUUGAUUGAAGUCCCAGUAAACGGCGGCCGUAACUAUAACGGUCCUAAGGUAGCGAAAUUCCUUGUCGGGUAAGUUCCGACCUGCACGAAUGGCGUAACGAUGGCCACACUGUCUCCUCCCGAGACUCAGCGAAGUUGUAAUGUUUGUGAUGAUGCAAUCUCCCCGCGGAAAGACGGAAAGACCCCAUGAACCUUUACUGUAGCUCUGUAUUGGACUUUGAACAGAUCUGUGUAGGAUAGGUGGGAGGCUUUGAAGCAGGGUCGCUAGAUCUUGUGGAGCCAACGUUGAAAUACCACCCUGGUGUGUUUGAGGUUCUAACCUAGGUCCAUCAUCUGGAUCGGGGACAGUGCAUGGUAGGCAGUUUGACUGGGGCGGUCUCCUCCCAAAGCGUAACGGAGGAGUUCGAAGGUACGCUAGGUACGGUCGGACAUCGUGCUAAUAGUGCAAUGGCAUAAGCGUGCUUAACUGCGAGACUGACAAGUCGAGCAGAUGCGAAAGCAGGACAUAGUGAUCCGGUGGUUCUGUAUGGAAGGGCCAUCGCUCAACGGAUAAAAGGUACUCUGGGGAUAACAGGCUGAUACCGCCCAAGAGUUCAUAUCGACGGCGGUGUUUGGCACCUCGAUGUCGGCUCAUCUCAUCCUGGGGCUGUAGCCGGUCCCAAGGGUAUGGCUGUUCGCCAUUUAAAGAGGUACGUGAGCUGGGUUUAAAACGUCGUGAGACAGUUUGGUCCCUAUCUUCCGUGGGCGCUGCAGAUUUGAGGAAGCCUGCUCCUAGUACGAGAGGACCGGAGUGGACGCACCCCUGGUGUAUCGUUUGUCACGCCAGUGGCAUUGCCGAGUAGCUAUGUGCGGAAGAGAUAACCGCUGAAAGCAUCUAAGCGGGAAACUCGUUUCAAGAUGAGAUCUGCCGGGGCCUUGAGCCCCCUGAAGAGUCGUUCUAGACCAGGACGUUGAUAGGUCAGGUGUGGAAGCGCAGUAAUGCGUUAAGCUAACUGAUACUAAUUGCUCGUGCGGCUUGACCCU